rnacentral:rRNA from 1 species
AUUGAACGCUGGCGGCAGGCUUAACACAUGCAAGUCGAGCGGGGUGAUGGUGCUUGCACUAUCACUUAGCGGCGGACGGGUGAGUAAUGCUUAGGAAUCUGCCUAUUAGUGGGGGACAACAUCUCGAAAGGGAUGCUAAUACCGCAUACGUCCUACGGGAGAAAGCAGGGGAUCACUUGUGACCUUGCGCUAAUAGAUGAGCCUAGGUCGGAUUAGCUAGUUGGUGGGGUAAAGGCCUACCAAGGCGACGAUCUGUAGCGGGUCUGAGAGGAUGGACCGCCACACUGGGACUGAGACACGGCCCAGAAUCCUACGGGAGGCAGCAGUGGGGAAUAUUGGACAAUGGGGGGAACCCUGAUCCAGCCAUGCCGCGUGUGUGAAGAAGGCCUUAUGGUUGUAAAGCACUUUAAGCGAGGAGGAGGCUCUUUUGGUUAAUACCCAAGAUGAGUGGACGUUACUCGCAGAAUAAGCACCGGCUAACUCUGUGCCAGCCGCCGCAGUAA